GAGUUUGAUCCUGGCUCAGGACGAACGCUGGCGGCGCGCCUAACACAUGCAAGUCGAACGAGCGAGAGAGAGCUUGCUUUCUCAAGCGAGUGGCGAACGGGUGAGUAACGCGUGAGGAACCUGCCUCAAAGAGGGGGACAACAGUUGGAAACGACUGCUAAUACCGCAUAAGCCCACAGCUCGGCAUCGAGCAGAGGGAAAAGGAGCAAUCCGCUUUGAGAUGGCCUCGCGUCCGAUUAGCUAGUUGGUGAGGUAAUGGCCCACCAAGGCGACAAUCGGUAGCCGGACUGAGAGGUUGAACGGCCACAUUGGGACUGAGAGACGGCCCAGACUCCUACGGGAGGCAGCAGUGGGGAAUAUUGCACAAUGGGGGAAACCCUGAUGCAGCGACGCCGCGUGGAGGAAGAAGGUCUUCGGAUUGUAAACUCCUGUUGUUGAGGAAGAUAAUGACGGUACUCAACAAGGAAGUGACGGCUAACUACGUGCCAGCAGCCGCGGUAAAACGUAGGUCACAAGCGUUGUCCGGAAUUACUGGGUGUAAAGGGAGCGCAGGCGGGAAGACAAGUUGGAAGUGAAAUCUAUGGGCUCAACCCAUAAACUGCUUUCAAAACUGUUUUUCUUGAGUAGUGCAGAGGUANGCGGAAUUCCCGGUGUAGCGGUGGAAUGCGUAGAUAUCGGGAGGAACACCAGUGGCGAAGGCGGCCUACUGGGCACCAACUGACGCUGAGGCUCGAAAGUGUGGGUAGCAAACAGGAUUAGAUACCCUGGUAGUCCACACCGUAAACGAUGAUUACUAGGUGUUGGAGGAUUGACCCCUUCAGUGCCGCAGUUAACACAAUAAGUAAUCCACCUGGGGAGUACGACCGCAAGGUUGAAACUCAAAGGAAUUGACGGGGGCCCGCACAAGCAGUGGAGUAUGUGGUUUAAUUCGACGCAACGCGAAGAACCUUACCAAGUCUUGACAUCCUGCGACGCACAUAGAAAUAUGUGUUUCCUUCGGGACGCAGAGACAGGUGGUGCAUGGUUGUCGUCAGCUCGUGUCGUGAGAUGUUGGGUUAAGUCCCGCAACGAGCGCAACCCUUACUGUCAGUUACUACGCAAGAGGACUCUGGCAGGACUGCCGUUGACAAAACGGAGGAAGGUGGGGAUGACGUCAAAUCAUCAUGCCCUUUAUGACUUGGGCUACACACGUACUACAAUGGCGUUAAACAAAGAGAAGCAAGACCGCGAGGUGGAGCAAAACUCAGAAACAACGUCCCAGUUCGGACUGCAGGCUGCAACUCGCCUGCACGAAGUCGGAAUUGCUAGUAAUCGUGGAUCAGCAUGCCACGGUGAAUACGUUCCCGGGCCUUGUACACACCGCCCGUC
rnacentral:rRNA from 1 species